GCAAGCGGUGGUGGUGGUGGUGGUGGUGGUGGUGGUGGCAGCAGCAGCAGCGCACGCCUUUAAUCCCAGCACUUGGGAGGCAGAGGCAGGAGGAUCUCAGUGAGUUCAAGGCCAGCCUGGUCUAAAGAGACUGAGAAUGGCCCAAGAGCCAUGCCUUUGGGUGUAUUUGUGAGGAUGUUUUCAGAGAAGUUGAACUGAAGAAAGAAGAGUACCCGGAAUAUGGAUGGCAUCAUCCCAUGGAGGAGGAGACAACUCUUCAAAACAACUCCUUCCCAGAAUAGAAAUGAAGCCUUUGAUUGGAACAAGAACACUUCAUCUGUUAAGACAGAAGAGAAGGCAGGUAUUGACAGAGGAAGUCACGUGCAGCCUGUCCACCAUCCCAUGGCUAUGCAAGAGUGUGCUUUGGCUGAGCAUAGAACAUUUUAUUUUACACAGAUUCACAAAGUCCCCACAGCCUGUGCUGGGAAUAUCACUGUGUUUGGCAAUAACUUUCCCUGUUCUAGGGUUUAUGUGCACUUCUCUAUUCUGCAUUAAGAAUGUGCAUCCUCCAGAGACCCACAGCCAAACAUCAGGCAGAGCUCCAGGAACCUCAAGGAAGAGGGGAAGGAAGGAUUGUAACAGCCAGGGGGGUUGGGUCAAGGACACCAGGAGAACACAGUCCACAGAAUAAACUAAGCAGGGCUGCAAGGGGCUCAGAGAGACUGAUGUGGCAGUCACUGAGCCUGUAUGGGUCUGUACUAGGUCCUCUGCAUAUAUGCUAUGGUUGUGUAGCUUGGUCUUCUGGUGGAACUCCUAACAGUGGGAAUGGGGGCGGGUAUCUCUGAUUCUUUUGCUUUCUCUUGGAACCUUUAACCUCCUAUUGGAUUGCUUCAUUCAGCCUUGAAGUGAGGAUUUGUGCUUAGUCUUACAGUAACUUACGCUGUGUUUGGUUGAUAUCCCUGGGAGACUUGCUCUUUUAAUGAAGGGAAACAGAAGAAGAAUGGAUCUGGGGCAAAGGGGAGUUGUGUGUUUGGGGACAGGGGCGAGAGUGCAGGGAGGGGCAACUCUGGUUGGGAUGCAAUGUAUGAGAGAAUAAUAAUAAUAAAAAGAAUGAGCAUUCUCUUGCA
rnacentral:lncRNA from 1 species